rnacentral:lncRNA from 1 species
CUUUAACAGAUAGAGAAAAAUUUCCAAUUAAAAAUUUCUUCAAUCUUCAGUUCUGAACAUAAUACAAAAUUAUCAAAAUCAAUACCAAUAUUGGGCUUUUCAAGCAAUUGACUAUCAUAAGUCAAUUCCUUGAAAAGCCCAAGAUCAGUUUGCAUACAAACAACAAUUGAUGAGGUCAAAUCAAUUUUCUUCCUUGCAUAAAAUAACAGGGAAUCUUCAAGAUUGCAACAUUAUUUUUGAUUCACAGAUUUCUAUUGACAAUGAUUUGGGAUGUUAUGUUUUGGUAUUGGUUUGUUACUUAUAUGUCAGAAACAAGUGUCAACUCUUUGCAUGCAAAAAUGUUUUUGUUUCAUUUUUGAGUGAACUAUUCAUUUAAUUUUUAUAAAUUUUUUUCUAUUGUGCUG